rnacentral:rRNA from 1 species
UACGUAGGGUGCAAGCGUUGUCCGGAAUUAUUGGGCGUAAAGAGCUCGUAGGCGGUUUGUCGCGUCGAAUGUGAAAACCCCGGGGCUCAACUCCGGGCCUGCAUUCGAUACGGGCAGACUAGAGUUCGGUAGGGGAGACUGGAAUUCCUGGUGUAGCGGUGAAAUGCGCAGAUAUCAGGAGGAACACCGGUGGCGAAGGCGGGUCUCUGGGCCGAUACUGACGCUGAGGAGCGAAAGCGUGGGGGAGCGAACAGG